rnacentral:sRNA from 1 species
UGGAGAGAGAGUUUUGGACAACGACGGCGAUAAACGUAGAAAUAGUGAG